rnacentral:siRNA from 1 species
UCUGCGUUUCUCGACGGUUAAC